AAAUGGCGGUGAUGAUCAACACUUCCAGCAAACAUGCCAGUUCUGCUUCUGAGAAUUCUUGACUGAAAGAACUGUUUUAUGUCUGAGCCAUAC